CAUUAAGGUCUUGGUCUUAAACCCCUUAUUACUUAUGCCCCUAAUUAUACAUGCAAGACUCACCACUACAGUGAAAUAGCCCACUACCACAUUAGUUCUGGAGCAGGUAUCAGGCACUAUAAGCCCACAACACCAAGCACUAAACCAAGCCACACCCCCACGGGUCAACAGCAGUAGAUAAUAUUAGGCCAUAAGCGAAAGCUUGACCUAGCAAGGGGCACUCAGGGCCGGUUAAUAUCCGUGCCAGCGACCGCGGUUAUACGACAGACCCAAAAUAAUACUAACGGCGUAAAGCACGACCAAUAAUUAGUUAAAACACUAGGAACGAAGAUAAACUAGGCCGUAAAAAGCCAUAAGCCACACUAACCAAACCCUAACACCAAACAACUACCACUCGUGAAAGUUAGGACACAAACUAAGAUUAGAUACCUUACUAUGCCCAACUAUAACACAACAAUUAAAUAACCCAUUGUUCGCCAAAUAACUACGAGUAAAAACUUAAAAUUUAAAAGACUUGACGGUGCCUCAAACCAACCUAGAGGAGCCUGUCUAAUAACCGAUACCCCACGAUAAACCCGACCCACUCUAGCCUACAGUCUAUAUACCGCCGUCGCCAGCCUACCUUGUGAAAGAAACAAAGUGAGCCUAAUAGCCCCCACUAAUACGACAGGUCGAGGUGUAACUUAUGGGUGGGAACAAGAUGGGCUACAUUUUCCAACACAGAAAAUACGAAUUAAUCUAUGAAAUAAGAAACUGAAGGCGGAUUUAGCAGUAUGCUGAGAACAAUAUGCCCAGCUGAAACCAACGCAAUGAGGUGCGUACACACCGCCCGUCAUCCCUGUUAAUCAACUAAAAACCAUACAUAAACACAAACCACAACCCAAAGCAGGGCAAGUCGUAACAUGGUAAGCGUACUGGAAAGUGUGCUUAGAUA
rnacentral:ncRNA from 1 species